rnacentral:rRNA from 1 species
CUGGCUCAGGAUGAACGCUAGCGACAGGCCUAACACAUGCAAGUCGAGGGGCAGCACAAGGAGCAAUCUGAGGUGGCGACCGGCGCACGGGUGAGUAACACGUAUGCAACCUGCCUGUAAGCGGGGAAUAACCCGUUGAAAGACGGACUAAUACCGCAUAAUACUAAAUUACUGCAUGGUAAUUUAUUUAAACAUUUAUGGCUUACAGAUGGGCAUGCGCAUGAUUAGCUAGUUGGAGAGGUAACGGCUCCCCAAGGCAACGAUCAUUAGGGGUUCUGAGAGGAAGGUCCCCCACACUGGUACUGAGACACGGACCAGACUCCUACGGGAGGCAGCAGUGAGGAAUAUUGGUCAAUGGACGAGAGUCUGAACCAGCCAAGUCGCGUGCAGGAAGAAAUGUCCUAUGGAUUGUAAACUGCUUUUGCAGGGGAAUAAAGUGCAUCACGUGUGAUGUUUUGUAUGUACUCUGCGAAUAAGGAUCGGCUAACUCCGUGCCAGCCGCGGC